GACGAACGCUGGCGGCGUGCUUAACACAUGCAAGUCGAACGGUAAGGCCCUUCGGGGUACACGAGUGGCGAACGGGUGAGUAACACGUGGGUGAUCUGCCCUGCACUUCGGGAUAAGCCUGGGAAACUGGGUCUAAUACCGGAUAGGACUCCUGGCUUCAUGGUUGGGGGUGGAAAGCUUUUGCGGUGUGGGAUGGGCCCGCGGCCUAUCAGCUUGUUGGUGGGGUAAUGGCCUACCAAGGCGACGACGGGUAGCCGGCCUGAGAGGGUGACCGGUCACACUGGGACUAAGAUACGGCCCAGACUCCUACGGGGGGCAGCAGUGGGGAAUAUUACACAAUGGGCGCAAGCCUGAUGCAGCGACGCCGCGUGAGGGAUGACGGCCUUCGGGUUGUAAACCUCUUUCAGCUAUGACGAAGCGCAAGUGACGGUAGUAGCAGAAGAAGGACCGGCCAACUACGUGCCAGCAGCCGCAGUAA
rnacentral:rRNA from 1 species